rnacentral:rRNA from 1 species
GAUGAACGCUGGCGGCGUGCCUAAUACAUGCAAGUCGAGCGAACAGACGAGAGUGCUUGCACUCUCUGACGUUAGCGGCGGACGGGUGAGUAACACGUGGGUAACCUACCUAUAAGACUGGGAUAACUUCGGGAAACCGGAGCUAAUACCGGAUAAUAUUUAGCUUCGCAUGAAGCAAUAGUGAAAGACGGUUCUGCUGUCACUUAUAGAUGGACCCGCGGUGUAUUAGCUAGUUGGUGAGGUAACGGCUCACCAAGGCAACGAUACAUAGCCGACCUGAGAGGGUGAUCGGCCACACUGGGACUGAGACACGGCCCAGACUCCUACGGGAGGCAGCAGUAGGGAAUCUUCCGCAAUGGACGAAAGUCUGACGGAGCAAUGCCGCGUGAGUGAAGAAGGUUUUCGGAUCGUAAAACUCUGUUGUAAGGGAAGAACAAGUACGUUAGUAACUGAAUGUACCUUGACGGUACCUUACCAGAAAGCCACGGCUAACUACGUG